UUGACAUAUUCCGCAAAAGCACCGGGAUGUAACGCUCCAAUUACCGUUAAAUGUUCACAACGGGCAAACUCCCCCUUAUGGCAGGAUUCACAUUUACCGCAAUAAAGCGCGGGGCA
rnacentral:antisense_RNA from 1 species